CAGUCGCCGCGGUAAUACGGAGGAUCCAAGCGUUAUCCGGAAUCAUUGGGUUUAAAGGGUCCGUAGGCGGUCUUGUAAGUCAGUGGUGAAAGCCCAUCGCUCAACGGUGGAACGGCCAUUGAUACUGCAGGACUUGAAUUAUUGGGAAGUAACUAGAAUAUGUAGUGUAGCGGUGAAAUGCUUAGAGAUUACAUGGAAUACCAAUUGCGAAGGCAGGUUACUACCAAUUGAUUGACGCUGAUGGACGAAAGCGUGGGUAGCGAACAGGAUUAGAUACCCGAGUAGUCCCUGUCUCUUAUAA
rnacentral:rRNA from 1 species